UGGGGAAGUACUCAAGUGGCUGAAGAGGCGGCCCUGCUAAGGCUGUAGGUCGGUUUUUACCGGCGCGAGGGUUCAAAUCCCUCCUUCUCCGU
rnacentral:tRNA from 1 species